CAGGGCACGAGCGAGGCCGGCGCCUGUUCAGGCUGCGUGCGGCCCUGCUGAGCGGGGACAAAGCACGGCCUCCUCUGGGGCCUCGUCUCUGCCUUUACUGUUGGGCGAGGAGGGCAGAUCGGCAAGUACGACUGUUUGGAAAAUACCCACAGUAACCAUUGGCCUUUGAGAACAAGUGCUGCUUAAUUGUCAAGCUGGGUUUAGACGGAAACAAGUCUGGAGACCAGUUAAGAGAGAAGUGCCAAGACCAAAGCCCCCAAACUGGGCAUCAGGAGACUUGAGCGUCAGAGCUGCCCGGUCCCAUAAUCCUGUGUGACUUGGUCAAUGUAUGUAAAGUCUCUGAGCCUCACAGUGUUCUCAUGCAUAAAAAGAGCCUGCCCUACUUCAGAGUACAACAGGACACGCAGACAGGACAACUGACUGCUACCAGUUUUCUUACCCCCUGGAAAAGAAUGUACAACUGCCCAGACUUCUGGGAGGGAGAUGAUACCAUCCCCGAAAGAAGAGAACUUAAAUAAGAAGUUUAUUUUUCCUUCUGCAAAAGUAUAAUUCCAUCCUGGAGAAAUGUAAAAAAUCAAGGAGUCAUUAGAAGCCAUUUAUUGGGUUUUAACUUUUUUUUUUUAAUCAUAGAGAUGGAUGGAGGGUGGACAGGAAUGCUGGUGUUCUAGAUCUAAGAGAGUUAAGAGCAUCAAUUAUGGAAUCACACAUUUCUGAAUUAGAGUCCCACCUCUAUUUACAAGCGUUGUUACUUCAGAUAAGUGACUUAACCUCUCCGAGCCUCAGACUGCUUAGCUAUCAAAUGGGGAAAAUAAUUGCACCAGAAAAUAAUAAUAUGGGGCUGUUAGAAAAUUAAGUGAGAUGAUUAUAGCAGUGCUUGGUACAGGCCCAGCACAUUGUAAUACAUGAUAAAUGUGAACUAGUGAUUUUUUUUUUUAUUCACAGUGGUUCCUACUCUUUCCCUUACCAACAUUCUAUUGUAAAAAAUGUCAAAUAUACAGAAAAAUUCAGAGAAUUGUGCAGUAAACACUUAUGCAUGUUCCACCUACAUGAUACAAUUAAUAUUUACAAUACUUGCUUUAUCACGUAUCUGUUCAUCUGCAGUCCUCCAGGACUGUGAGAAAUUGAGUAUCUGUUGUGUAAGCCACCCGGUUUGUGGGGUUUUGUUACGGUUAGCCCUAGCAAACACACAUAGAACACUUUAGGACUAGAUGACAAUUGGAGUUAUCAGUGCAAGUACAUGGUUUUCAAUGUACAUUAAAAUAGAUAUAAAAACAAA
ensembl:lncRNA